AUUGAACGCUGGCGGCAGGCCUAACACAUGCAAGUCGAACGAGUGGCGGACGGGUGAGUAAUGUCUGGGAAACUGCCCGAUGGAGGGGGAUAACUACUGGAAACGGUAGCUAAUACCGCGUACCAUCGGCUGUGCCCAGAUGGGAUUAGCUUGUAGGUUAGGUAACGGCUCACCUAGGCGACGAUCCCUAGCUGGUCUGAGAGGAUGACCAGCAACACUGGAACUGAGACAGGAUCAAGACACCAACGGGAGGCAGCAGUGGGGAAUAUUGCAGAAGGGGCGCAAGCCUGAAGAAGCCAUGCCGCGUGUAUGAAGAAGGCCUUCGGGUUGUAAAGUACUUUAAGCGGGGAGGCGUUGCCCGCAGAAGAAGCACCGGCUAACUCCGGGCCAGCAGCCGCGGUAAUUC
rnacentral:rRNA from 1 species